rnacentral:rRNA from 1 species
UGAGGAAUAUUGGUCAAUGGCCGGAAGGCUGAACCAGCCAAGUCGCGUGAGGGACGACUGCCCUAUGGGUUGUAAACCUCUUUUAUAAGGGAAGAAUAAAUGCUACGUGUAGCAUGAUGCCUGUACCUUAUGAAUAAGCAUCGGCUAACUCCGUGCCAGCAGCCGCGGUAAUACGGAGGAUGCGAGCGUUAUCCGGAUUUAUUGGGUUUAAAGGGUGCGUAGGCGGUUUUUUAAGUUAGUGGUUAAACGUCGGGGCUUCACCUUGAUUUGCCAUUAAUACUGUAAGACUCGAGUUCAGACGAG